rnacentral:rRNA from 1 species
UACGAAGGGGGCUAGCGUUGCUCGGAAUCACUGGGCGUAAAGCGCACGUAGGCGGACUCUUAAGUCGGUGGUGAAAUCCCCGGGCUCAACCCGGGAACUGCGUCCGAUACUGGUGGGCUCGAAUCCGGGAGAGGGAUGCGGAAUUCCAGGUGUAGCGGUGAAAUGCGUAGAUAUCUGGAGGAACACCGGUGGCGAAGGCGGCAUCCUGGACCGGUACUGACGCUGAGACGCGAAAGCGUGGGGAGCGAACAGG